AACCCAAACUUUAUCCCAUCUAUAGGAAAUGCAGGGAUGGGGAAUGGAGCAGAGACCGAGGGAGUGAGUGGCUAACCAAUAACUGGCCCAAUUUGAGACCCAUCUCAUGUGGAAGCACCAGUACCUGGCACCAUAAUGAUACUCUGUUACGUUUGCAAACAGGCGUCUAGUAUGGCUUUCCUCUGAGAGAGCCUACUCAAUAGCUGACUCAGAAGGAAGCAGAGACCCACAGCCAGACAAUGGAUGGAGCUUGGAGACUCUUAAGGAAGAGUUGAGGGAAGGAUUGCAGGCCCCAAAGGAGAUAAGGAACUCCACAAAAAGACCAACAGAGUCAACUAAGCUGAAUCCUUGGGGCUCUCAGAGACCAACAACCAAAGAACUGGGUAUUCCCCAGCCCCAGCACAUAUGUAGUAGAUUUGCUGCUUGGUCUUCAAGAAAGUCAUCCUUCAAAGAAACAAAAACCUAACGAAGCCAAACCAAUCAAUGAAACAGACAAGUCCAGGGUAUCAGCUAUACCACCCCUGGGAAUAUAUUCAAAGGACAUUAAGUUCAUUCACUGCUGCUGUGUUCACAAUAUCUAGGAUACGGAAUCAGCUUAGAUGUUCAUCAAGUAAUGAACGGACAAUGAAAAUGUAAUCCAUAUACAUAAUAGAAUUCUAUUCAUCUUUAAAACAUAAAAUUAUGAAAAUUUCAGAAAAUAGAUAUGAAACUGAGACACAUACUAAGAUUUCCUUGUGUAAGUUGGAAGGAGGAAAUAAUUGGGCAGGAAACAAUGAAGAAGUCAUGAUGAUUAAUGCAAAGGCUCACAAGUGGUCAAAGUGAGGAGAGCAAUUGUAUGUGAAGUGUACAGCCACAAAUGGAGUAUCUAUAUCACAUCCUCUCAUCUUAAAUAAAUAUAAAAAAAAAACUAGGAAAAGGAAGUGAAAAGACUAUAAGAGCUAGAAGUCUGAAUAGAUUAAGACAGUGUCUUUUGGAUGCGCUAGGACCACUGCAUUCAAGAACUCAUAGCAUCUCAUAGCAUCUGUAGUUUCCAAGACAGACCUGCACAUGGUCAAGCCAGUCAAUGCUCUAACACAGUGAUCUCAUUGGUAUCUGGUCAAGAUUAAGAGAAUGUUUAAUAUGCAAGAAUGGUCAGAAGUCAUGAAGCUUAUUGUUCUAAGCCAUAACAUUGAGACACAGAGAAGAACUACAAGGUCUGUCAAAAGUCAAUUUGUGGGAAAGGAGGAAGGAUUUACACAACCUUAUCUCUAGAUGAGAAUAUUGAUAGCAGAAGGCCUGCGAAGCAUAGGGAUUCUCUUUUCUUUAAGAUACGAGCCCUGGUAACUCAACCAUGCUCCAGUGGAUGACUCUACGUCCAUGAAUUAUAGGCAGUAAAAUUGGAAAUCGGUAUACUAUGACAAAGGGAGGGCAGGAAGUUGGGAGAGAUUGGGACUUCUCUGAGGACAGAGGAGGAAAUGCAAUGAAGGAGUAAGUGCGAUUAAGAUGUACUACAUAGAUGUGAGGAAAGUAUCAAAAAUAAUAAAA